AUGUGGUUUUUCUCCUCAGGCAUG
rnacentral:siRNA from 1 species